AGAUUCCACAGGAUGCGAGCAUAUGCAGUGGAAACAUUGUGUUAUUCCAUCCUCAGAAGAAAAGAGACAGUAUUAUACUUCGUCUCUUGCUAGUACAGAACAUGAGAUCUUGUGGACAGAGACUCAGAGUUUCCUCAGUGCUGAUAAGAAACUGGCAAUUACCAGACAAUUAACAAACAUUUUUGAAUAAAUGAAUGACUGAAUAAAUGACUGGUGUUAUUACCGUUGACCCA
rnacentral:lncRNA from 10 species